rnacentral:rRNA from 1 species
UACGAAGGGAGCUAGCGUUGUUCGGAAUUACUGGGCGUAAAGGGCGCGUAGGCGGCUUCACCAGUUGGGCGUGAAAUGCCUGGGCUUAACCCAGGAAUUGCGCUCAAUACUGCGAGGCUCGAGUGUGGGAGAGGAUAGUGGAAUUCCCAGUGUAGAGGUGAAAUUCGUAGAUAUUGGGAAGAACACCAGCGGCGAAGGCGGCUAUCUGGACCACAACUGACGCUGAGGCGCGAAAGCGUGGGGAGCAAACAGG